GCACUGCGGCCGCCUGCUCAUACCUUCAUCAAAAUGUUUGCUGCUUGCUUUAUUCCAUUUGCCAUCAGACUGGCUCUGCCUGUAUAGACUUCAUAUGCAAUCAAACUUAAUUUAUAUUAUGUAUUUCUCUUCACUCAUUAGCGUUCCCCGUAUAUGUGACUUCAUUUCCCAGUAUGCAUGUUGCUCUGUUUAUAUAUCAGUAUUCAGUGAUAACAAUAUAUUUAUUUUUAGCUAUAUUAUUUUACUCAUACUAUUUAUUUUAUAUUUUAUUUUCAGGGUUGGUAGACAUUAUUGAAUACCCAGAAUUAAUCAUUUCACAUUUCCACUUCAUAGAAUCAUUAUACCUUAUGUGCAAAAUAAUUAUUUUCCCUAAAACCAACUCAACGUUAACUUUCAAUGCUUCUGUGUAGAAGAGUUUAUAAAACGUUUUCCAGCAAAACUGGGAGGUACCAUAUAUUCCUGCAAUACAGCAUUUAAUGAUAAUAACCACAUAACUGCCACCACUGAGUACUAAGGGACUUCUGCCCUCAUUUAACUUUCCGAAUGACAUCAGGAUUAUCCAAUGCAAGGUAAAUGUGCGUCACGGAGGAUGGAUGACAGCAGGUAACAAGAGGUUCAGGAACAGUCAAUAUUUGGAAAUUCAACUAACCUGGCAGACAGUGGCAUUUGUUCACCGGGUUUGUUCUUUGUGAAAUACACUUGCAGAAUAAGCCCACAGACCCAGCAGUUUCAGCUCAACAUGUCAGUUUACUUGUGACCCCACUGGUACUGACAUUAAAUUAUUACAGACAUCUUUCCAAAGGCACUGGAUGUGCUGAAGCCACAGAAGGAGAACAUGAGGCCUCCUGGUUUGGGUGGAGAAUGAGUGCAUGUGGUAGGAUGUCAGAUGUAACAUUUACCUCUUUUUUCCACAGGUGGAGUAGGAGCUGUUUUUCCCACAAUGGGAAAUUUUAAUCUUCCUCCCUGUAUAUAUAUAAAUAUAUGUCCAGCUAAUGCAGUUUAUAAACCAGGUCUGCAUCCUCACCUCGCCCUAAUCUACUUGAUGAUGUAGUUGGCCUGCUGUGCAGAGACCCGCUUACACACCCGCCUGCAAUGGGCCGUUACUGCCUGAGUCCCUGCAGACGGAGCUCUGCCCGCUGCUCUGCGCGGAGGCGGGUUACAGACCCGCCGGGUGCUGGUGCAAACGUGACUCCAGCAUUCCAACCGCCGCCCUGAGAACAAAGCCGUUUGUCAAAGCCCAGGGUCAUGCCUUGCUAACGUGUAUUGCACAGCAUGAUACACGGGACUAUGUCGAAAUGGCGCUUAGCAAAUGUUUUCUGAAGGUGACGGACGGAGACGUCUCCCGGCAGAAGUGUCCUGGGCACACAUCCUCGAGUAUCCGCAGGAAGGCUGAGACUCCCCCGCAGUUUCCGGGCCCUCCAAUCACGCCCUCAGGAAAGAGCUCGCACCGCGGCCGGCCCGACCCUCGGACGCAUUUGUGAUGUUCACGCUCCCCCUGGAGGGAACAGUAAUCUCGGCUUCCGGGGAACAUCCGCGGGCGAGCGCGCGACAGGCACAACGCCUCGUGCGGGACUCCAGCUUUGCACGGAAUAUUCUUUUGCCUGCCUCCGAGAUGGUCCCUUGAUGGGCUCCACAUCUUAACGGUCACUUUCUGAGCGGUUCCGCAUGGAGGGAAGCCAACCUCCCACCCCAUCAGGCUGCCCCGCCUUGCCGAGAACUCAUCACCCCCUGAAUGACCUCCUGCCCUUCCCAACGCGGGUCACUGGGUGCCUGCAGUGGACUCUGUCUUCCAUGGGAUGUACCAGCCUACCAAGGGACAGGCUGCCUCCCGGAGCCGACAGACGUGUCGGUCCCUUUGUUCGCUUAGUUGUUGUCAGCCUCCCGCACUGGAACACAAGCCUUGUGAGAGCAGGGACCUUGGUCAGCCUGGCCCACCGCCUUAUCUCCAGAGCCUAGAAAAAUUAUGUAACUUGCCCAAGUUUAUACAACUAUUCAUAGUAGAGGCAUUUGCUUCCAGGCCCUGUUCUCUUAACCACUAGACAAUCUUGUCUUACAAACAGCUCUUGGCCAUUCAUUGAUUUGUUCUACAAAUAUUUAUUGAACACCACACAUGCCAGCUGCUGUUCUAGAUCAGCGGUGUUCAGUACAGCUGAGGGCGAUAACGAAAUGUUCCCUGUCUGUCCUGCCCAAUGUGGUAGCCACGCGCCACAUGCCAAUGCAACUGAACCUCUGAAUCUUUAUUUCACUGUAAGGGAUUCUCCGCAAGAGGGUGAAGACAGGCUGCAGACCUCCCUCUGGCCACAGUGACCGGAUGGAUGAGAUCUAGGAGCUGUAGGUUGACACAGUCUAACUCCUU